rnacentral:rRNA from 1 species
UACAGAGGGUGCGAGCGUUGUCCGGAAUCAUUGGGCGUAAAGAGCGUGUAGGCGGCUCGGUAAGUCCGCUGUGAAAGUCCAGGGCUCAACCCUGGAAUGCCGGUGGAAACUGUCGAGCUAGAGUCCGGAAGAGGCGAGUGGAAUUCCUGGUGUAGCGGUGAAAUGCGCAGAUAUCAGGAGGAACACCGAUGGCGAAGGCAGCUCGCUGGGACGGUACUGACGCUGAGGCGCGAAAGCGUGGGUAGCAAACGGG